AAAUAAAAGCGUGGAAUGGGUUCUUACCACUUAAACUGGCCCCGUUAGCGGGAUGUGUUAAAUUCAGUUUAGGGCUUUUCAAAAGCGCACUUUUAUUUUUUUUUAGCCCUGUGGUACUUGCCUUAGCUAAUUGAUGUCAGAGAGUUCUCAACAGUUCCCACGUAAAAGUGCUUGUAAAUUGUAGAUACCCGUCAAAGUAGGAAGAGAUAAGGAAUUACUGAUGUGCCAAAAGGAAUUGGAGACCCUAAUUUCUAAAAAUUCGAUGUAGUUGUAGUUUCAUCGAAGCUUUGAAUGUGUUCUAAAGCAGCCGAUGUUUCUGUACCCAACCUGUGUUAUCAUACAGAGUUGUAGGUGCUUAGGCAUUGCUGUGAAUGAAUGGCAUGAAUCUUUUUUAGAGAAAACACAAUACCACUUCUGUUACUUAAGAAAGUCCUCUUGUUUAAGGUAGCAUAAUGUUGCUUUAUUUUCAGUAGAGGAACAGAGACAUAGAGAAGAGUGUAAAGGUUAAUCAAAUACAGAACAUUUUUAAAAGGUAUUGUCAUAGAGUUGUGGACUAGCUUCUUUCAAAGUCUGUUUUC
rnacentral:lncRNA from 1 species